UACUAAACUAUGCGCUGCUCUCGGGGCAGGAGUAAAAUAACAGUACUAAAGUGAAUUAUGCGCUGCUCUCGGAGCAGGAGUACUCAAUAGGUUCGUAUUACUGUUAUUUUUGCUAAACUAUGCGCUGCUCUCAGGGCAGGAGUACUCAAUAGGUUCGUAUUAUUGUUAUUUUUUAAUAAACUAUGCGCUGCUCUCAGGGCAGGAGUACUGGAUAGGUUAAUAUUACUGUUAUUUGUCAUGUACUAUGUGCUAUGCAUGUCAAAGUAUUUCUGUAUGACUAUAGGCCUGUCAUUGACUCUUUCAUGUAGUUUUUCUUCUCUUUGCAGAAAAACUUCUUGGAAAAAGCAGAAGUCGUCACUGGUCCAUACUUGGAGAAAGGGAAUCUCUGGACUUUCUUUAUGCUUUGCAGUGAGAUGGUCAGUGAUGUAGUGUUCCUGGCAUGGAAGUUUCCUGCACAAAAGAAAGUGGUCCAGAAAAUAUAUGAAAAUGAGGAUGUUCAUGAUUCAAUAUCCCAAACUAAAGCCUUUAAGAAGACCUUACAAACAUUUCUGGAGACUUUGAGAGACCGGUUUUGAGAAGAUAUUUGGCAAAGCAACCUAUGACCUUGGGCUUGGUUUAAAGGGAGCCUGUUCAAAUUUGUUGACUCAUGUCUAAAAUAAAAAUAAAAAAAUACAAAAAUAAAAAACUUAAAAACCUCUAGGAAUGAUGAUAUCCACUAGUUAAGACUACAGCAGUUUAAUGAUACAUCUUGCUGAACUUUUUUGUUGUGAAACGUUCCUGUGUUUUAUACAUGCA